UUUAAAAAAUAAAGACAUUCACCUUCCCUUUCUCUCUCACGACUCCCACCUACCACCACAAGCAAACCCACAACCCUUUCUCACUCACGUAACCUACCCUCUCUCCAACUCUGCAUGCUCCAGCGGAGCCCAGGGGCACGCGUCGAUUUCAGUGGCCGGAAUCGCCGUUGUUGCUUGUUCUGGUUGCAGCCUUUGAAUGAAAACCAGAACCGCAGCGUGUGGUAGUCCCCAAAGGUUUCGCUAGCACCUCCGACAUCUUGAACUUGUCCUCGUGUUCGUGUCGGAGAUUAAGAUUUGGAAUGGAUCAUCGAGAUCCAGAUCUGAACCAUCUAAAUCCAAAUCGCCAUCGAGAUUUAGAUCUAGAAUAGUUCUUGCGUUUCAAUCUGAAACAAUUUUGCGAUCUGUUUUCAUUUGAUUUCUUGAAUCUGAGAUUGUUUUUUUGUUUUCUUGACCACUAAACCCAUUCUAGAAUCUGAACCCUUUAAGUUUUUUUUUCUCAUUUUUUCAUGAAACUUUAUGCAUUCCACCUGUUUGUUGAAAUUCCUGUGCCAAUCAUUUUCCUAACUAAGUUAUUAGUUUUUUUCCUUUCUUUGUUUAAACAUUAUUUUCAUUUCAAUUAGGAAGAAAAGGUAAUAUCAAUUUGGUAUUAUAUUUCAAUCGGAGCUUGUGGCUUUGGUGAAUAUGGAACGACGAUGAAUUGGUAUGAUGGAAAAGUCGCAGGGGUGUCUGAUCUAUGGAGGAAUGGAGCUGGCUGUGGAACAUGUUAUCAGGAAUGACAUACAACGAAGGAUGAAUUCAUUGGAAGAUAGAGUUUGAUCUUCUGACUGUGCAAUAUAUUGGUUCAUAUGUUAAGUAAUAAUUGUAAAAGAUAGAAGUUUGUUAUUUAUUUGAGGUUUUGAUUAGAUUAUGCAUGUGAUUCAA